rnacentral:rRNA from 1 species
UACACUCCUGCGGGAGGCAGCAGUGGGGAAUAUUGGACAAUGGGCGCAAGCCUGAUCCAGCCAUGCCGCGUGAGUGAUGAAGGCCCUAGGGUUUUAAAGCUCUUUCACCGGUGAAGAUAAUGACGGUAACCGGAGAAGAAGCCCCGGCUAACUUCGUGCCAGCAGCCGCGGUAAUAAGAAGGGGGCUAGCGUUGUUCGGAUUUACUGGGCGUAAAGCGCACGUAGGCGGACUAUUAAGUCAGGGGUGAAAUCCCGGGGCUUAACCCCGGAACUGCCUUUGAUACUGGUAGUCUUGAGUUCGAGAGAGGUGAGUGGAAUUCCGAGUGUAGAGGUGAAAUUCGUAGAUAUUCGGAGGAACACCAGUGGCGAAGGCGGCUCACUGGCUCGAUACUGACGCUGAGGUGCGAAAGCGUGGGGAGCAAACAGGAUUAGAAACCCGUGUAGUCCC